GACGAACGCUGGCGGCGUGCUUAACACGUGCAAGUCGAACGGAGUUCCUUGGAUAGAGGCUUCGGCCAAUUGAAUUGGAACUUAGUGGCGGACUGGUGAGUAACGCGUGAGGAACCUGCCUUUCAGAGGGGGACAACAGUUGGAAACGACUGCUAAUACCGCAUGACACAUUCGGGCGGCAUCACUUGAAUGUCAAAGAUUUUAUCGCUGAAAGAUGGCCUCGCGUCUGAUUAGCUAGUUGGUAGGGUAACGGCCUACCAAGGCGGCGAUCAGUAGCCGGACUGAGAGGUUGACCGGCCACAUUGGGACUGAGAUACGGCCCAGACUCCUACGGGAGGCAGCAGUGGGGAAUAUUGGGCAAUGGACGCAAGUCUGACCCAGCAACGCCGCGUGAAGGAGGAAGGCUUUCGGGUUGUAAACUUCUUUUAAGUGGGAAGAGUAGAAGACGGUACCACUUGAAUAAGCCACGGCUAACUACGUGCCAGCCGCCGCAGUAAGAC
rnacentral:rRNA from 1 species